GAUGAACGCUGGCGGCGUGCCUAAUACAUGCAAGUCGAGCGAACGGACGAGAAGCUUGCUUCUCUGAUGUUAGCGGCGGACGGGUGAGUAACACGUGGAUAACCUACCUAUAAGACUGGGAUAACUUCGGGAAACCGUAGCUAAUACCGGAUAAUAUUUUGAACCGCAUGGUUCAAAAGUGAAAGACGGUCUUGCUGUCACUUAUAGAUGGAUCCGCGCUGCAUUAGCUAGUUGGUAAGGUAACGGCUUACCAAGGCAACGAUGCAUAGCCGACCUGAGAGGGUGAUCGGCCACACUAGAACUGAGACACGGUCCAGACUCCUACGGGAGGCAGCAGUAGGGAAUCUUCCGCAAUAGGCGAAAGCCUGACGGAGCAACGCCGCGUGAGUGAUGAAGGUCUUCGGAUCGUAAAACUCUGUUAUUAGGGAAGAACAUAUGUGUAAGUAACUGUGCACAUCUUGACGGUACCUAAUCAGAAAGCCACGGCUAACUACGUG
rnacentral:rRNA from 1 species